UUGAACGCUGGCGGCAUGCCUUACACAUGCAAGUCGAACGGUAGAGGGGCAACCCUUGAGAGUGGCGAACGGGUGAGUAAUAUAUCGGAACGUGCCCAGUCGUGGGGGAUAACGCAGCGAAAGCUGCGCUAAUACCGCAUACGAUCUAAGGAUGAAAGCGGGGGAUCGCAAGACCUCGCGCGAUUGGAGCGGCCGAUAUCAGAUUAGGUAGUUGGUGGGGUAAAAAGCCCCACCAAGCCGACGAUCUGUAGCUG
rnacentral:rRNA from 1 species